GGGUCUGUAGCUCAAUUGGUAGAGCGCUCGGUUCGCAUCCGCGAAGAUGUCGGUUCGAUUCCGACCAGUAUCCACCA
rnacentral:tRNA from 2 species